rnacentral:lncRNA from 10 species
UUGAGGGGAAGGUUGGGAGGAGGGUGAGAGACAAGAGACUAUGUGUUGGGUACAGUGCACCCUGCUCAGGUGAUGGAUGCACUAAAAUCUCAGAAUUUACCACUAAAGAACUCAUCCAUGUAACCAGAAAAUCACCUGUACCUCAAAACCUGUUUCAAUUUAAAACAAACAAACAAACACAAAAACAAACAAAAAAAGAAAACUGGAGUCUAUAUAAUUCUAGGACAUAAUUAAGCCAUUUACAACACACGUAAUUAGAAUCUCAGAAGAAGAAGGUUCCCGGAAAAAGAAAAUACUUAAAGAAAUAAUAACAAAAAAAAAAAUCCAAAUGUGAAGCAAACCAUAAACCCAUACAUACAUGAGACUUAGUAAAAAUUAAACAAAAUAAACACAAACAAAAUCACAUCAAGCAACAACAGAAUCAAAUUCUUGAAAACCAGUGAUAAAGAGAAAAAUUUUAAAACAGAUCAAAAAAAGAGUACAUUAUGUGCAGGAUGACAAAAGUAAGAAUUACUACUGGCCAGGAGCAGUGACUUAUGCCUGCAAUCCCAGCACUUUGGGAAGCUGAGGCAAGCAGAUCUCCUCAAGUCAGGAGUUUGAGGCCAGCCUGGCCAACCUGGUGAAACCCUGUCUCUAUGAAAAAUACAAAAAUUAGCUGGUCAUUGUGGUGGGUGCCUGUAAUCCCAGCUACCUGGAAGGCUGAGGCAGGAGAAUAGCUUGAACCUGAGAGGUGGAGGUUGCAGUGACCCAAGAUUGCACCACUGCAUUCCCUCCUGGGGUAACAGAGUGAGACUCCAAAAAAAAAAAAAAGAAAAAGAAAAAAGAAUUAUUACUAACGUUCCAUUAGAAAAACAAGCAAGCCAGAAAUCAAUAGAAUAUAUUUAAAGUGCUAAAGCCACCACCCAAUAAAUAAAUAUAUGCCAAAAAGCCUGUCAACCUGAAGUUUUAUGCCCAGUGAGAAUAACCUUCAAAAAUGAAAGUAAAAUAAAGACAUUUUCAGGCAAACAAAUCAGAAGGAAUUCUUCACAUCAGACCAGCAAUACAAGAGUGAUAAAGAAAGUGCUUCAGACUGAAAAAAAAAAAAAAAAAAGAUCCCAGAUGUAAAUUCUUAUCUAAAAAAUCAAAAGGAAGAGUAGCAGGAAUAAUAAUUGCUUAUUUAAGAAAAAGACUCUAUAGUUUAAAACAUAUGCAGAAGUAACAAGUAUAAAUUCAUAACAAAAAGUGAGGGAAAAUGAGGUGUUGUGGUAAUUCUUUUUUACAUUUAUAUAUUACCUGAUGUAAUAUUUGAAGAUUGAGUGUGAUAAGUUAAAGAAGUAAAAUUAAUAAGGUAAUAAUCAAAAUAAAAUGAAAUCAUAUGAAUAUGCAAUUAAGUCAAACAAAGAAGAAAAUGAGUAAAAGAGAUAUAAAAAAGACAUGAAAUUUAAAAUGACAUAAGGCCCAACAAUAUCAACAAUUACAUUAAGUUUAAAUGAUUUAAACACAGCAAUUACAUCUAGGAAUAUAUUAUCUGAUUGAAGCAAGAUCCAACCAUAAACAUUCUAUAAGAAAUGAAGUUUGACUAUAAGGACAAAUGUAAGUUAAAAGAAGAGUAUGGAGAAAGUUAUGUCAUGUAAGAAUUAACAAUAGGGACCAAUGGGUCAAAGAGGAAAUCAGAAGAAAAAUUAGAAAAUAUUUUGAGAUGAAUGAAAAUGAAAACAGGUUAUAUAAAAAACUUAUGAGAAAUAGCUUAAAUUGUACUUACAAGAACAUUUAUAGCUAUAAAUGCAUGUAUUAAAAAAGAAGAGCAAUCUCUAAUCAGUAUCCUAACCUUUCACCUUAAGACACUAAAAAAGUGGAGCAAAGUAAAAGAAGCAGAAAGAAGGUAAUACUAAGAAUUAGAGUAGAAAUUAGUGAAAUAGAAGAACAAUAGAGAAACCAAAACCUGAUUCUUUGAAAAGCUCAACAAAUUUUGAUAAACCUUUAGGCAGAUUAAUCAAGAAAAAAAGAAGGAAGACUCAAAUUACAAGAAAGAAAAAUAAGAGUGGGGCAUUACUACUGAUUCUAUAGAAAUAAAAAGUAUUACAAAGAAAUACUGUGAAUAACAGUAUGCCAACAAAUUACUGAUUUAAGAAGAAAUAAACAAUCUGAAUAAAUCUAUAAACAAGUAAAGAGACUGAAU